rnacentral:lncRNA from 1 species
AAAAUUAUGCAAAUGUAAAGAAUGUGAAGAAGCCAUUAAUAUCUGCUCACAUCUUAUUCAAUAUCAGAGAGUUCAUACUUAAUAGAAACAUUAAAAAUGAAAUUACUGUCAAUAGAUUUUUCAGAAAAUAUAAGCCUUUAAAGUGAAGAAGAGUAUUUAUUUUGAAGACAAGCAUUAAAAUAUCAAGAGCGUGAGCCACUGUGCCCACCAAAAUAUACUUUUUCUUGAAAAAAAUUUAUAGAUUUUUUAAUAUGUGAAUAAUGAUGGAAUUCAACUCUCAAAUUCAUGCUGUUUCUUUAUUCCUAUUGCAUUCAUAUGUGAAAGUAUGUGAUGAAUGGUUCCUGCAUGAAAGAUAUGAGAGAUUGUUUUUUAUUAGGUAGGCAUUAUUAUCUCUUCUAUGAAAGAGUAAAGACAUUAAAAUGUAAGAUAUAUGAUGAAAAUCUAAGUAGGGAUGCUCUUUGUGGUUAACUUAUAAUAUUGAGUGAUGCAUGAAGUAGGUGUUCAGUUUAAUAUUCUGCUUUAUGAGAAAAAUAUUUUUAAUUUUAGUUAAAAUUUAAUAGUGUUAUUUUACUAAUUGUACUUUUAUGUGAUACAAUCUAGUACAUUUAAAAACUUUGAAAUUAUGUGUAGACUUAACUUUUUAAUUUAACAUUUUUAACAUGUUAAAUACUAUUGUGCAUUCAAUAAAGCAUUAUUUUGCCACUAACCUUAACCCAUUCCACCUUACUCAAGAGUGUAGGUAAAAGAUAGUAUUAUUUGUUAACGUAAUAAAGUAGUAUCUGUAGUAAUCUUUUUUGCUAGUGGCUUUAAACUGCAAAGAAGUUAAAGAAUGUUGUUCCUGUAUGUUAAAUUUUUUUUUCUUAUUUAAAUUUACUUAAUAUUUUUGGGUAGAUAGUAUGUGUAUAUAUUUAAACCAUAUAUGGCAUAUUUUGGUACAUACAAUAUAUAAUAAUCACCUCAUGGUAAAUUAGGUAUCUGUCACCUCUAGCAUUUAUCCUUUGUAUUAUAGAAAAUUUAAUUUUAUGCUUUUUGUUAGUUUAAAAUGUGCAACUAAACUGUUACCAAUGGCCUCACCUCUGGCAUUUAUCCUUUGUAUUACAGAAAAUUUAAUUUCUCACUUUUUGUUAGUUUAAAAUGUACAAUUAAACUGUUACCGAUGGCCAG